AGGAAAAGAAGAGAAAGGAAGAAAGGAAGGAAGAAGAAAGGCAGAAAGAAAGGAGGAGAAAGAGAAAGAGAGAAAGGAAGAAAGAAGAGAAAAAAAAUAGAACCGCUAGAACGAAGAGAUACGAACGGAGGAAAAGAAGAAAAGGGAUGAAAAAAGAAAGAGCAAGGAAGAUAAGGAGACAAAAGAGGAAGAGAAAAUGCAAAGAGAAAGAAAGAAAAGAGGAAGAGACAAAAGAAAAAGGAAAAAGGAAACCGUUAGAACGAGGAGAGAGAUACGAACGGAGGAAAAGAAGAAAAAGGAUGAAAAAAAGAAAGAGAAAGGAAGAUAAUGAGACAAAAGAGGAAGAGAAAAGGCAAAGAGAAAGAAAGAAAAGAUGGAGAGACAAGGGAAAAGAAAAAAAGGAGCCGCUAGAACGCGUCGACUCGGUUUGUUUACGUUUUGCCGCGGGGAGGUGCACGUGUGGGCGGCGUUCAAAAUGAUCUACGUUUAUUUCACGUUCCUGACCUCGCCCGCCUUUAAAAGUCCUCGUUGCUCCAGGGCGUAGCUCCGUUACCCUGGGGGGCCUAUGGGGGUGCGGGGUACAGGCACCCAUCGCUCCGGGACACCUUGCCUCAGUGCUCAUCUCUGUCAAAUUAAAGACUCAAGAGCUGUGUGAAGAAGCUGAGCAGCGUCUCCCUGGCCUGGGCGUGGAGUGAGCUGGUCCCCUCAUCACCAGCACCAUAGACCAGGGGAUGAGGUGCUCCUGGCCCUCCGGCACACCCUCCUGGGCGGACCAGAGGAUGUCCACUGUGCUGGCUCUUCAGGGUGGUGGAGACCCUGUUGCACAUUCAUCUGGUGGUGGAAUUCCCUGGCGGCGGCGGCGAGCUGUUCAACACCAUCACCACGGAGGGACGCAUGACGGAGGCACGGGCAGCGGCAGUCUUCACACAGAGCCUGGACUACGACACGUGCGUCAACUCUGCCUGGCUGGACGAGGAGCGCACGCAGGGCUACACGUUUGUGG